rnacentral:lncRNA from 1 species
ACACGACCCCUGCAUGUUUGCAAGCCGUGAACAUCCACAUUACUAUGAUCAUGUAUACCCAAUAUAACUAUCACAAUGCGUUGUGAUUCAUUGGUAUAGUUAGAUCCUGAAAUCGUUCCAUGCUAUAGCACCUAGUGAUGUCUGUCCUAUUAUCGUAUAUGUAAACGCACUCAUGUAAACGUAUCUAUGUAAACGUACUCAUGUAAGCGUAAUCAUCUAAACGUAAUCAUGUAAACGUAAUCAUCUAAACUUAAUCAUGUAAUAGUAUAGUAGUGUACUGUAAUGUUCUGCGUGUGCUAGCUGUAACGUGUGUUCUCUCUCUAUCUAGCAUGUAUAGUAAUGUAUUGUGUGUACUAGCUGUAAUGUGUGUUCUCUCUCUAUCUAGCAUGUAUAUACUCAUGAAUGAACUGACUCGUGGUAUGAUUCCGCAUUCUAGUAAACGUAUUAGUAUCUUCCUAAACUACCCAUAUGGUAGCUUACUAGUAAUAUAACUGGUACGUAUGAACAUGGAAGUAUACCCUUGCUACCCAAGGGUAUUGAACUGACUGGAAGAACCUUUAUGACUAUAUAUGUACACAUGAUACAUAACUAAUAUUUAAACGACCUUCGGACGGAUACCCGGUACCUUACCAGACCACAUCCCAACGGGAAAAAGGAAAUAAAGCAGCUAGCCUUCAUAAGUCCUUUAAACAUUUCUUAUAUAACUAUACAUACAUAGGCAUGCAAUUGACAAUAUAAAAACAUAAAAUAAGUUUUGUAACACCUUUGAACAUGAUUACUAUCAAAGAAAAGGUCGACUUGAUGUCAGCCUAUAAAACGGGUUGAAAGUGUUUGUUUGAUAAAACAGCUUAAGUAUAAAGAAACAUUUGUUUGAAACACAAUUGUAAAUGAGUUUGAAAUGAAACAUACAGUGUAUAAUGAACAGUUUAAUAAGGAGUUUUAAACAUAUAAAACGUUUAUGAAAAUCGUUUGAAGAAAACUGUUUGGUAAAACAGGUAAUGAGUAGUAAAUCAUUUGAAUGCUGCUUAUUAAUCACAUGUGAUUGAUAUAAUAACUAGCAUGAAUCUUUAAAUAAUAACUAGCAUGAUUCAUUUUAAAAAAAUGGUAGGUUUUAUUUCAAUAUUUUUUAUAAAUAAUUAUAAGAAAAUUUGAAUUAUUUAUGCAAUAAAUAUAACAUAUUAAGAAAUAAAAUCAUUUUCUUUAAAUAAUCUAAAUAAAAUUAUUGACAAAAAUCAAACUAGUGUGAGGUAACUAAUAACCAUAAAACUUCUUUUGUGUUAUUAGAUAAGGGUUUUACUUUUAAGAUCUUUCGGCUAACAAAUAACCAUAAAACAUCUUAAAAUUGCAUAAACAAGUGAACAGGAACGUAAAUCAAAUGAUAAGAACAAACAUAAUAUAAAAAUAAUAAUAUUAAAUAAUUAUAUAGGAUUAGUGAUAGUUAUCUAUGUUUUUAGUUUAAUUUAUUUAUUUGAACAACACGUCAAAAAACCGUUAUAUAAUGUAAACGAAGAAAAUGGUCGAAAAAAACAUUAAAUAAUAUAUUUAUAUAAAAUGUCAAAAAAAAAAUUAAAGAUUUUUAAAUCAUAAAAACAAAGAUAAAUUAUAACAAUAACAAUAAUAAAAAAAUAGUAAUAAUAUGAUUUGAUAUAAUUUGGAUAAUUGAUUUUAAAAGGUAAAAUAAAUUUUCAUAUAAUCUAAAUAAGUAAUAUUAAAGUGUUUGAUUGGACUGAUUUGAUACAUGGUUUAUUAAAAAUAAUUUUACAAAUAAUCUUAAAUCUACUUGUUUUUUAUGUUUAACAUAUCUUUUGUAAAAAUAAUAAUAAUAAUAAUAAUAAUAAUAAUAAUAAUAAAUAAAGUUUACAAAAUUUUUUACCAAAAAAAACAUUCCUAAGUUGUAAGAAAAAGUUAUUGAUUCAGAUAAUCCAUUUUUAAAACAAUAUGUUUCGAAUAAACAAGAAAACUUCCCUAGUUAGACCGUGAUGUCUUUCAAGUCAACAUUUGGGGAAUGAUAUUUUUUAAUGCAUUCUUACUGUUUGGUUACGCAAAAACCACCCCAAUGAAAAAAGUUGUAAGAAACCAUUUUCAUCUUGUCCAAUGUGUUCAACUUUUAGAGCUUUCAUAGACAAUUAUUUGGAUGAGAGGGAUCAUUUAAUAAUAUCUUUUAUUAACAAAGAUGUAACAUUCCGAAAUUCAGGUUCAACCAUUUAACCCUUCAUCUUUUCCAGGUUGUCAUAUUAGGUCCCUUUAUGUUAAGAGCCAAGUUUGUGAGUACGCUGGGCGUACAAGGAGUACGCUACGCGUACUCGCGUGCUUAUUUUUUACGCGGUUCCAUCCGGGUACACUGGGCGUACCUAAGGUUACGCCGGGCGUAAGCGGCCCACACUCAAAACCCUAAUAUUACUUGAGGGCUAUAAAAGGAAUGAGAUGGUCUUGUCCCUCAGCCACCAUCUUUCAGAAAGAAACCCUAAGAGAGUAUUUCCUUCAUUUUAGCUUGGGAGUGAGUGUUCUAAGCUUCAAGUGUCAUUCCAAGGUGGUGAAAGAGAAGAGGAGACCAUUGUAGAAGCUAGAAGUGGGUGGACAAGUGUAGAUCUGAGGACUACAAAGGUUGGAGCUUCUUCCUGAGGUAAAAAGUUCAGAUCUUGCCUUUGUAGUUUGUGUGGUGUGCUUCUUGGACCAAUUUCUAGGGUUUUUGGUCCCAAGGUGGAGACUUUAUGAGUAAAUAGUCUCCAUUGGCCUAGAUCUAUCAUAUUCCAGGACUAUAUGAGUUGUAUGUUCAUAAAAAUGCAAUCUUGGAUGUGAAUGUUGAGCCAUGCAUAAGAUCUAGACUUUUGGAGGAGAAAGGAAAGGUGUUAGAAGGUGUUGGGAACCUUUAUAGCCAUGCAAAGGCUUAAAGGUUUCGACUUUAUGGAUUAAGAGGUAUUAAAAUGGCCAGAUCUGGAAUAUGGGGUUAUGUCUUAAUCGUUUAAGACAUUAGAAUGAGGAAGUAAGAAACUGGGAUGUACGAUGGGCGUAAUCCCAGUACACGCCGCGUAGUGGGUCGCGUCCCCCGUUUCUGGAAUGCAAGGGUACUCCCCACAUACAAGAGCUGGUACGCCCCGCGUACUGCUUGCUGUUGACUUUUGUUGACUUUUAGGGUUUUGGUCAACAUAUGGACUUUCGAGUCAGUGAGGGGUGAAAUGGUCUUUUACCCUUCUGUGGGAUAGUGGAAAAGGGUGUAGCAUAGCCGUGGAAGCCGUUAAUAAUUAGAAUGAUUAUUUGUUGUGAUUAGGCGGGGCUAGGUCGUCGUUUCGAGAUUCAGAGAUAUCGAGCACGUAAGAUUCUAGACAUCAUACGAGGUGAGUCUUCUCACUAUACUGUACCUGGAAAGGUACCUAUGUGUGACCGGAAGGUCUGGUGUGCUAUGAGAUAUAUGUGUUACAUGCUAUGAGUUGUCUGUUUCGUAUGCGCUAUGUAUGUGAUAUAUAUGCUAUGUUUGAUAUGGGCCGGAAGGCAUUGUGAUAUGGACCGGAAGGUCAACACGGGUAGGACCGGAAGGUUUACCGAGUUGGGACGGAAGUCCCCUAAGACACAUGGACCGGAAGGUCGUGUGAAGUAGGGGUGGAAUUGGUACGGUACCAAUUCAUUUUUCUCUAAACCGUGUACCAUACCAACUACAAUUUAUAUAAAAAAUUGCUACCGGUACCGUACCAAGUAUACUUGGUACCAAUUUAUUUGGCUACCAACAAGUUUGGUUGGUACAAAUUGGUAAUGGUAUAUACCAACUUCUUUUAAUAUUCUAUUAUAAGAUUUAAAAACAAGCAAAUACAUCGGGAUUUUGAUGUGUAAUAUAAAAAUUAUUUAUGUAGUUCUUUUAGUUUACAAAAGAAUUCUACUGAAGUAACGUUUUAAUAUUGUGCUUUAACGUAGUAAUAACUAUUGACUAAUACGACCAAAUUACUAAUAUAAUGUNUAUAUAUAUAUAUAUAUAUAUCAAAUGAAUUGGUUGGUAUGGUAUUACCAUGGUGUUCCAACUUUUGCACCACUACCGUACCAACAUUGAUCAAUUGGUACGGUACUACCAACCAAACAUGUUGGCUACCAAAUAUAUUAGCUACCAAGUUUCUUGGUUCGGUUGGUAACAUGUUGGUUGGUUUUCCAUGGUACAAUUUUGCCAGCCCUAGUGUGAAGUAUGGCCUGAAAAGGCGUAUGUUUGUAAGUGGUAUUUUGGGGAACUCAUUAAGCAUUUAUGCUUACAGUUGUUGUGUUAUGUGUUUCAGGUACUAGCGAGGACCGUGGGAAGGCGCCGGCGUGACUCGUACACACUAGAGAGAGGAUUUGAUUUUUGUGAUCUUGGGAUACGAUAUGUUUUGAUAACUAUUGUUGGAUAUUUUUGAAAAUAUUUUAUGUGAAAAUGGUUGUGACAAAAUGAAAUUUUUGUUUUGAAAAUUACGUUGUUACAAAAAAAUUUACUAACAACCUCCUAGAUCUUCUCUAGGGAAGCACUCCCCCAUGUUUGGCCACUAUUGCAUAUAUCUUAUCAGGUAUCUUAGCUCGAACUUUUUCAUCAUCCUUCUACGUCUGCGAUAAAAAUUGUUUUUCAAGUUAAAGAGUAUAAAAAAAACUUACAAGCAAGUUUGUCAAGUAAUAAAAAUUGGUUUUGCACCUUCUAACUUCUUCUCAAUCUUGAGUUCUUCUAGCAUUGUUAUAACAUCAUGUUUCAUACCAAUAAUAUCCCCCACUUCCAUUUUGAAAUUCAUGAGUUCUUCUACAAAAAACAAGUUAUUGAUAAACUUAAAUGUAAAAAAAAAAAUGAUAGCUAGUUUUCACCUUAUUCACUAGGUAAGUUGUACUCUCUUAAAUGACCAUGAAUGUAGAAACCUCCGUUAUCUCAAUUAUUUUCAUCAUAUAAGCAAUAUCUGUUGAAUUGAAUUUGCUUCCACCUGCAAAGAUUUUAGAUAAGAUAAAUCAAUAAUAUUUUGUUUUUCUAGCCAAAGUUAAUCACAAUCAAACACAUCUAAACAAUAACAAGAGCUUUCCAUGUUCAAUGACAUCAUCUUCCACACGUAAGAAUCUUAACAUUUGGAUAUGUAAUUGAGCAGUGAAAGCUUUUGUUAUUGUUUGGAGAUAUUUGAUUGUGGUUAACUUUGGCUAGGAAAACAACAUAUCAUUAUGUUAUCUUUAUGUAAAAUCUUUGUAGUUGGAAGCAGAUUCAGGAGAAGAUGCUUACAUGGUGAAAAUAAUUGAGGUAAGGAAGCAGAUUAUGUGAAUGUGUUUUUAGGUAUUACCUGAGAAACCCGAUCAUAAGUUUUUUUAAAAGGGCAAACACACACCACAUAAACCACAACACAAUGAACAUAUAUAUUCUUUUUAUUUUAUAGUCUUUAGCUUGGAAAAAUAUUUUAAUUGUAGACUUGAGAGGAUGAUGAAAAAGUUCUAGCUAUGAUGUUGGAUAAGAUGUAAAUUUUGUUAAUUCUCUAAACCUAUAACAGAUUUAAAUGCUAACUUAGUGUUGUUUAAUUUUGAUGAUUAAAAAUUAAACACCUAAGCAAAUAUUAACUUUAUUGGAUAUGUUUUGUCUUAUAUAAAUGAAAGAACACAAAAGCCCUUGAAAUUAGAAAUUAAAAGUGGAUAGCUUCAACAGCUUUUGGAAUCAAAAAUCAAAAGCAAGAAAGUCGCAAUAAAUCAGAAAUUAAAAAUGAGAAGUAGCGACCAGAAAUCAAAUUAUUAAGUAGCAACUAGAAAUAACAAGUGAGAAGUAUUAUAGAUUAUCGGGUGUUUGGCUAAGGUUAUUUAUAAAUGUUUUUAACUUUUUAAUGUAUAGCUUAUUAGCUUACUUUCUUUUCCUUUAUUUUUUCUUUUCUUUGUUAAAACUCUGAAACUAGGCGUUAGUGUUUAGCAAAAAAAAUUGCUUAAAUUUGUAAAAUUACCAAAAAGGGCAAGAUUUUCUUAUUGAUGUAUGUGUCCAUAACCUAAAUUACAUUCAAGAUAUCAUGUAAGCAUCUUAAAAACAUCAUUCAAAACAAUGUGUAUGUUCCUUUUUGAUAAAAGUAGACAAAACGAAGGGCAAAAAUGGAAAGGGAGUUGUGACUGAGUUGCAAACUUCACAAAAUGUAACAUCAACAAAAGAUACUCACACUGAAAGCAAACAUAAAGGGAUCAUAUUGUCAUUUGGAAAGACAGAACAUAGCUUCAUGCCAGAUUUCAAUUUCAACAAACACAUAUAAUCUCGAUUUCAAUGGAAAGCAGGAAAAAAUGAAAAUCAAUUUCAACUAAGCAUUUAAUAGAAUAUUAAAUACAAAGUAAGGACAAAACUGAUAUUUUAUUAUAUAAAUUUAAUUUCAACUAAGCAUUUAAUAGAAUAUUAAAUACAAAGUAAGGACAAAACUGAUAUUUUAUUAUAUAAAUUUAAUGGUAAUGAAUGUUUUUUUAAUCUAUAUGUUUAUUUUUUUUUAUCUGUGGACAAUAAUUUUGGGACGAAAAAAUAUUAGGUUAAGGGGUACAAAUGUACAAUCAUAAAUUCCUAAAUAUAGUGAAAGAAAGGAAGAAGUUUUCAAAAAAAAUUUUAAAUUUUCACUGCACGAAAAUUAUUUUUGGUUAUAUCUACGUAGAUCAGUAAUAAGUCAAAAAAAAAAUAAAUAAAUAAACUUAAUAAAACACCCUCGAGACUGAAGAAUGGAGAAGUUAAAAGCCGUAAAAACCGGUGUUUUUGACAUACCUUAUAAUAAUAAUAAUCCAAAAUAAUUACCAUAUAUUCCAAUUAUAAACUAUAUUUGCUUACUAUUACUGUAUUACACUUUCAUUCCGGGUCUACAGUUUAGAUAAAUAUUCAAUCCUUAUAAUUUUCAAAAAUAAAGGAUUAAUAACUUCAAUAUACUUAAAGUAUAUGAAAAUUGCUCUUAAAAAAUCCAAAAUCUAAAAAGUGAAAAGAAAUAGAAGAAGAACGUUUUUUUUUUUUUUAAUGGUACCAAAUAAUUAGGGUUACAAGAACCAUACGAUGAUUAAUUUCAUCCAAAAUAAAGCAAACUACAAAUACCCAAAAUAGCCUCACUCAACUAUUUGGUGUUAAACAAUAUACAUAUGAUAUCGAAAGUCCAAUCUACUUGAUAUUUGGCACAACACAACAUAUUUUUGUUUUUCUUAAGACAGAAAGCAAAAGUGAGCAAUUUAUCAGCAAGGUACUUUAAGAAAAAGGGUAGAAAGGUAAUUAGCACCACAUGGUUGACUUGACUUCUCUCUUUCAUUUGCAAUUGCAAACUCAUUCAUAAUAUGGAGCACCCCUUUUGACCCUUUGCCUUCUUUUUCUUCUUUGGUUUUGGUGGCUGCAGAACCACUUUAAUAGCCGCAUCGAAAACAGCCUUCAUUUUCUGUAAUUAAAAAAAAAAAAUUAAAAAUUAAAAACCAUAUUCAAUUUGUAGCAACAAAAAAAUAACUUUUAAUCUGUUAUNNNNNNNNNNNNNNNNNNNNNNNNNNNNNNNNNNNNNNNNNNNNNNNNNNNNNNNNNNNNNNNNNNNNNNNNNNNNNNNNNNNNNNNNNNNNNNNNNNNNNNNNNNNNNNNNNNNNNNNNNNNNNNNNNNNNNNNNNNNNNNNNNNNNNNNNNNNNNNNNNNNNNNNNNNNNNNNNNNNNNNNNNNNNNNNNNNNNNNNNNNNNNNNNNNNNNNNNNNNNNNAUAUACCUGAGCUGUUGUAAUUGGAACUGCACCAGGAUGAUCAGUAAAAAACUGUUUAUCAUCACGAAGAUCUACAAGAAACAAAUUAAAAAUAAUAUUUGUAUUUAUUUUGUAUAGAUGAAUAAAAUCAAAAAAAGAAAAAGAUUCGAAAACUUUGGUAGAACUUUAAAAUAUAAAUGAAAAAUGUCACAUGUGGUAGUUCAUUGUUGUUUCAAACAGGAAUAGCAUCCUACUUCUGUUUCUUUCGAUUAUUUCAUUUACUUUUAAAAAAAAAAAAAUCUUACUAAAAAAAUGUGGUUUCAAUUUUCUUUUAUACUUUGAAAAAUCUACCCCUUUAUAGCAAUGAAGAUGAUAUUGCUAUAACUUGGUAGGUUUUUUUAAAAAACAAUACUAUAAAAAUGAAGAAAUGAAAGUAGGAUGCUAUAAUUAACAAAUCAACAAAAGUAUAUUGCUGUUUUUUUUUGCGUGUAACACAAGAUUUCAUAUAUAAACAUGGAUUAAAAAAAAUAAAUUGUAGAUAAAUAAAUAUCAUAAAUGCAAUUAAUUUAGUGUAAAAAUAGAAUAGAAGAAUCUAACCUAGCUUUGUUCCAACAAGGAUUAUUGGAACUCCAGGUGCAUAAUGCCUCAAUUCAGGAAUCCACUGAACAAUGAAAACAAAUGAAAAUUAGUUUAAAUAAAAAAUGAACUUCAUGUUAUUUUUAAUUUGUAUUAAGGGUCUUUUUGGUAAUUUUCCCCAUUGCCACACACAUAUGACAAAAGCCACCCUUAAAUAUGUGAAAUAAGAACUUAUAUCAUCAAAUGCAUUAUGCAUCUCUCUCUUUUUGGAAUUUAAGGAGAAACUAAUAAACAUAAAUAAUCUCUUUAGCUCAUUGAUAUAUGUAAUAUAAGUCCUAACUUUUUACAAAUUUGCCCUCGUUGUCGUUUUCUCAAAUAUCUUUUAGACAUCAUUUAUCCAAAUAGCACUUUAUCCAAACAAACAACACUUGAUUGAAAAAAAAGAUAAACAAUUAUAGAAGAUGGAUGUGUUAGUGAAAAAGACCAAAAUAACCUUUUUAGAAACGUUUUCAUAGCUAGCCUUGCUAAUGAGAGAAAACGCAAGUAUAAAGACAUCAGCUCCACGAUAACUCAAAGGUCUCAAUCUAUUGUAAUCUUCUUGACCUAUUCCAACCAAUAACAUUUUCUUAAACAAAUAAUUAAAAACAAAAUUAAUAAUUCCAAUUUUUAUGAAAAAAAAAAAAAAAAACUAACCUGCAGUAUCCCACAAUCCGAGAUUAACAGUGCUCCCAUCAACCACAACAUUUGCACUAAAAUUGUCAAAAACCGUUGGCACAUAAUCCUGUAUACAUUAAAAAAAUAAUAAUAAUAAGAAUCGAAUAAGUUUCAGGUGAGAAAUUAUUAUUCACGUUAUUAAUGGGAUUAUGAGAAUGAGGGGAUUGUGUUUUGUGUGUUGUUUCUUUAUGAAGAAAAAUAUGCUCAUGAGAAACACAUUUUUACUCAAAUCCCACAUUUUUUUCUUUUCUAUGCUUCACCAAAAAGAAAACAAGGCAGUAUUUUUUUUAUUUCAUAAAUGGGAGAUGAGAAUACAAACUUUAGAAUUCAAGAAAAUCAGAUGAAUACGUUAAAAACUCAUGUUUUAUGGUUAUAAUAAUCGGAGAAACAGGUAGAAAGAAAAAUUAAAGCUGAAAUUACGGAGAUGGAAAAAGAUAAUAUCCACAUUCUUUUUAAUUUUUAAAGGAAGAGAAAUAUACGAUUUGAAUUUGGGGGAGAAAAGAAAAACUACAAAGAACAGGCAAAGAACCCUACGAAUUAGAACAAGAACGAGAUAUAGAUUUGAGAAAAUCAAACUGGGGACUGUUUUUUACAGAAAAACUCAAUUUGGUUUCGGAUUAAAUCAAUUAGAUGGAUGAAUGUAAGAGGAAAAAUUAAACCGGAAUGAGAUGAAAGAAUAAAUAUAGUAGUAGAUUGAAAGAAAUUUAAUGAAUAAAUUUGAAAGAGAGUUGAGUUGAAUUGACUUUACAGUGGGGAACGUGUUGCUGGUGUAAGAAAUGAGCAUACAAGUCUUUCCAACAGCUCCGUCGCCGACUGUCACACACUUUAUGAACCGAGAGGCGCUCAUUCUUGUUUCUUCCGGCGACCGGAGCUCGGAUUUGACCUCCGACGACCGAAUCCAACGAUUUCCCUUUUGCUUUGAUUAGCUUCUUUCUCCUCAAGAUUUCAAAUCAAAGGGCUUCAAAUCUUCCCUCGAAAAUGAAAACCCUAGAAUGAUUUUACACAUAAACUGCACAAAAGAAUCCAAAUUAGCACGCAUUUAACAGAGUCUCCAGAUGUGCGUGUGUGUGUCAGUGUGUGUGUGUUCUUGUGAGGAUGAUAAAUGGGAAGCACCUCUGUCUCUGUGAAGAGAGAAUGAGAAGGGCAAGGAAAAGGAAAAAAGAAUUGCGGGAGGAACUUUGUUGGGUUGGGACAGCUAUAAAACUACAAACGCUUGAUUUCAAUCCUUUUCAAAUCCCUUUAAUUCCAAGUUAUCGAGGGCCACCUUUUUAACAGCUGAAAUUAAUGAUUAACAUAAUUCGGUGUUUUUAACGGCAAAUCUUUUAAGACUAAACUGCACAAAUGGUCUUUGUGGGUUUGCUUAAAAUUGAGUCUAAAAAAGUUUGAACUUUCACCGUAUGUCCAAAGUUUUCAUUUUGUUGCUUGUUUAGUCUAAUUUGUUCUGAAUUUUUUCAAAAUGACGGAUUUGCCCCUGUUAAUUUUAUUUUCUCUUUUUUAUUAAUUGUAUUUCUGAUUUUCAAAUUUAAAAAAAAAAUAAAAAAAAUAAAAAUGAGAUCUCUCUCUCUCUUUAUAAUCCAUUCCAAAUCGAAAAGGUAUUUCUCAGAUAUGAAAGUCGAUGUGCCCUAGAACGAUAUUACGGUCAAUCCAUCCAACCCAUAGAUUCCUGAUCUUCGUUCUUCUUCCUUCAAAUGUAAUCGAUUUUAGGGUUAAGUUUGUUUGAAUUUGAAGAGUCGAAAACGUAGUCAAUGGACACAGUAAGUGUUCGACACCGAUCCAGCCAAAUCGGUUAUCCCUGUCAUAUCUCCAUCUGAUCUACCAUCUGCCCACCGAUCGGCUUCUCCCCUUUUCCUCUUACCGGCAGAUCAACUCAGAUCGACGUCCACCUCUACACACAAACCUUGGAUUGCAGAGUAGAAAGCUUCUUUCUCUGUUCGAAGUGAGUCACGAAGAUCAAUUUGAAGUUCAAAUUGGAGAUAUCGAUACUCAAAUCUUUAAGAAGCUUCAUCAGGUUACCAUUAUGCCCCUCACCGUGAAUAUGUUGAACUAUUGUUUUAUUUAUUUGAACCAUAACUUUGCACCAUUGUUUGAUUUAUGAACCCUUUAUUUGUAUGUAUAUCUGGAUUUGUGUGUACUAUUGUGGCUCGAUGGUAAUUAAGAGCUUAUUUGGGUGAUCUUUACUCUUUAUGGAAGCAAAUGAUUGAAAAGAGAAAAUUGUUUCAGUAUAUUACAGGAUGUGACCAUCGGAGGAUUUGGUUCUAAGUGUCGAAGAAGGUAUUCUGAUUCCAAGGCCUGAAACCGAGUUGAUAAUCGAUCCGGUGGAAGACGUGAUCAAGCAGAGUCAAGAAUUGAACGAAGGUUUGUGGGAGGAUUUAGGUACUGGUUAUUGGAAUCAGGAGGAUUUCAUGGAUUAGGAUUGAGAGAGAAUGUGGGUUUGUCUGUUUAACAGAGAGAGAGAGAGAGAGCGAGAUUUUUAUUUUGUUAUAAAAAAUUAUAAAAAUAAAAUAGAAAAUUUAAAUUUUCUUUUAAUAAAAAAAAGUAUUUAAAUAAUAAUAAAACUGAAAAAGGAAAAAAAAAAUAAGGGUAAAAUAGUCAUUAUGAAAAAGUUAAUAGAAAACUGGACCAAAUUCACAAAAAAAUGAAAAGUUUGGACCUCUGGUGCUAGUCCAAAUCUUUUUGGACCAAAGUAGCAAUUUUCAGCUAACCACAGGGACCAUUUGUGCAGUUUUGUCAUCUUUUAAUUAUAUGCUAGUUGUGGGUCCCAACACUCAUGUUGGUCAUGGGCUUGGAUAUGACACUAAGACUAAAGGGAGUGGUUCGGUUAAGAUGAUUCGAUAUGACGAAGUUUUUCUUUUUCCUCAGCAUUUUUUGUCAUUUCUCUCUCAUCAGCAAUGGCUUAGCAAAGGUGAAGGUUGGGAUGGCUCUCGGCACCACUUUCUUCAGCCUAACAAAUAAAAGUUGACGUCUAAAUACGAAUAGCAGUUUUCCAAACAUCUAUGUUCGCGGCAUUAGAUUAUGUAUAACCACUCAUUGACAAGUACGGUUGACAUGCCUCUACCUUGUACUUGAUACCUACAUGUCAACCUCAUUAUACUCCCGAUAAAUAUUAGAGACCCAAAUUUGGUAAGUUCAUUCUAAAUACAACAUCUUGUCUGUAUUACUUCACUUAUCUUGACUCAAACUAACUAACUUAAGCAUCCGAACAUAUAUUUGGACUCAAUUCCUAAGAUAUGGCUGACCUUUUUUGUUUUCAAUGAUACUAGGUGUGAAGGAUGUACCAAAAUCAACCCCCCCCAUAAAAAAAUUCACAAUUUUGACAUAUGUAUCAUCACUUGACAUCAUGUAUGAACUUAUAACGAAAACCAUGCCCGCAUACCAUAAGCAAUGACUUGAAAAAUGGUAGGUACUGAUUUGAGAACAAUGAGUUCAAUCUCAUUCAGUCGAUUUCCUCCUUUGAGACAACAUUGCCUACACUGAUGUUAGAAGCAUCCACUUUAACAUUGAUGUCGUUAAUGCAUACAUCAAGAAUACUAUUGGUUGUCACUCUAAUAAUCACACAACAUGAACACCACUCCUUCUAAAAUACAAAAAUAUGCAACACCAUACGAUCUCUCAGAUUAUCUUAACUAUCAUACAUUGAGGGUAACAUACAAUGGGAUUAAAGAUAGCCCAAAAUGGAAAUUUCAUGAGUUGAAACAACUAGUGAGGUAUUAACGCCACCCAAUGUCGUUCUAGGGAAGGUCAUCCCCGAAAAUGCAGCCAACACACCAAACUUAGGCUAAUCAUGCCAAACGUCCGACUCCAAACCAUAAAUAUAUCUUGCUCUUGUUCCCUAGGGGCUCAUGAUGGUGUAAUCAACAACGGUAAUAAUUAGAAUAUUGAUAUCGAACACUCUACCCUACCCGAAUAUCAAAGAAUACCAAAAUUUCCCUUCAUUAGGGAAGUAGAAUACUAUCAACUUCCCACUUAAACCAUACACCUGACACUUAAAAUAUGGCGGGACACUCAACUUAGAUGACCCUAUCAAGACUUGUGAAUGGCACAUGAAGUUGCUCCAGUGGAAACCGUGAUGCAGGUGCACCUACUUCACCAUAACAUUAUGUCACACCCCAAAACCGGAACGGCGGAAACGUUCUGGGGUGGAUGACGUCAUGUCAAGUAUCACAACACAUGCAUUAUAGUAAUCAAAGUACAAUAAAACAUUGUAUUAAUAGUAAUAAUUUUACAUAGUUACAUGACAAAACACCAAGGUAAUACAAGAAAUACAGACAUAUAUAUGUAAGUACAGCGAGGCACUAAGCCAUCUUCAUCAACUACUCCGAGGAUGUACCUGUCUAAUGCUAACCUGAGAAUACAAGUUAUUUGAAAAGCGAGUAUCAUCAUUUUUUACAAAUGCUGGUGAGUUCAUAAGUAUUUAGUGACAUUUCAUUCAAAUAACUUUAUAAAGUAAUAGUUUAAGUGUUUACAGUGUAUUAGAGUUCUUUCCAGAAAAUCCUAUAUUUUCUUUAAUCAAAGCAGCCUUCUACCAAGACUAGUCAGUGUUAUGUGGUAAAAAGUGGUUUUCCCUUAAUUGCUAUCAUCAUUAAAAUACUUAAUUUGGUUAUUAAAUAAAGCAAGAGACAACAGGGAAAUAACAUAUGCCUCAGCAGUGAGGACUGCUGACUAAGGCAAAGGAAUCAUAGACUCCAGGAGAGUAUCGAACGAACGACAUACCUGGUUCAGUCUAACAAAUAGAGACACAUACCCCAGAAGGUACCAAAUGAAAGGUACAGCUGGUAAGGUCCAAAACAGUGAAUACAGACCGCAGACAAUAUCAAAUGAAAGAUACUUCUAGCCAGGUCUAAAACAGUGAAUACAUUGGAUACAGACCCCAGACAGCAUCAAAUGAGAGAUACGUCUUGUAAGGUCAAAACAGAGAAGACAGACCCCAGACAGUAUCAAAUGAAAGAUACGUCUUGUAAGGUCAAAACAGAGAAGACAGACCCCAGACAGUAUCAAAUGAAAGAUACGUCUUGUAAGGUCAAAACAACGUGACUAUGAAAUUGAAUUACCAGCAUACAGUGUAAAUUGCUGGCGAAAUACCGUUACCUUAAUGCCAUGAAUUAUAAGGUAACCUGGGAUACUCGUAACCAUACUAACCGACACUAGAGUACCAGACGCCCUACAAGCGUCUAUAUAAUGUGACAUUUGUCACCCCUUGGCUUGGUGAGUCGUGGACUGUAGCUAGUAGUCAGGGUGCGGGGGUGUCAAUCCCGUAUAGAUCUAUACACACAAUGUCCGCUCUCCCUACAGGAGACUCUGGUUACCAACUAGACGACGGAGAAGGCCGUGUCCUGAAGAUGCAUCCCAAAUAGUGGGUAGAGACUUCCAACUAGUGGGUUUCUAAUGUAAGUGCUGAACUAGAGGUAGAGACUCUUAACUGAAUUGACUGAAGUAAACCCGUAUGUCUAUGCUUGUGUACAUAAUAUAUAAGUAAUGAAUCAAACGACCUUCGGAUGGACAUCCGAUCCCACCAGACCACAUCUCAACGAAGAAAAGGAAAUAGGGCGGACAAGCCUUCCUAAGUCCUUCAAUCAUUAUUUAUAUGCAUCUAUACAAGCACAGACAUACAUCUAACUACGACUGAGUGUGUAUCAAGUAGGAGUGAUCUUUGUGAAGUAGGAGUGUCUAACAAGUGAAGUAGGAGUGAUCGCAAGUGAAGUAAGAGUGUCGAACAAGUAUAAGCGUAUCACGAAGUAGAGACGACAAUAAGUGAAGUAUGAGCGUAUCGAGUAUAAGUGAAGUAGAGUCGAUAUCAAGUAUAAGCGAAGUAGAAUCGUAUCACUAAGUAAGAGUGUGAAUAAGUAUAAGCGUCCAUCAGGUAUAAGUGACUUCAAGUAUAAGUGAAAGCGUUACAGAGUAGGAGUAUAAAAUAAGUAUAAGCGAAGCAGCAGUAUUUAACAAGUAAAAGUAUACGUCGAAAAAGGGAAACUUUGAUGAAAAACCUUUAUAUCCGGAGAAAAUCACAAUUUGUAUUCUUUUGUAAAAUAUGUUUGAAAACCUUAGAAAAUCUUUCAUAAACCAGUUUAGAAUGAAUUUAGAUAAAACAGUAUAAGUAAGAGUUUUGAAACAAUUGAAAACCAUUAUAGUGUCCUACUCGGUAAAACAGUGUACAGUGGUAAAAUCUUGUGCAUGCGGGUUAUCAAUCACAUGUGAUUGAUAUGAUAACUGGCAUGUUUAACUUGUAUUCCCCCCUAUAAAACAUGUAAAAACAUUUAAAAGGUUCAUUCAGGGGUAUGAACUCACCUGGUGUAAGUAGGUCCGACGAAGGUGCCGUUUGGGCGUUCGGUGUCACGCAAGGACUUGAACACACACAAUGACCUAUUUAACAUAUGAUAACAUAUGUUCACAUACAAUUAGUAUAUUUAAUACUAAUUAAACAAAUAUACGCGCUCAAAGGAGCGGAAAACACUUUGGAUAAGUGUUUGGGUGUCCCGGGUAGCGUCUAAAGGUGCGUAUGGCUUAGGAAUGGAGUUUACUCUCCAAGAGUAAACCCCUAACACCAUGUUUACGGCCCAGGGACUACUCACCAUGAGUUUACGGCCGUAAACUCAUGGUGAUGGGUUCUAGGGUGUUUUAAGGCUUCUACUUGUUCAUGGGAUUAUUCUAAGUACUUUUCCAAAAAGGCAUGAGUGGGUUUAAGGCUUCUAAGGGCAUUAUAUUGGAGUUUACGGCCUAGGGACAACUCCUAAGGGAGUUUACGGCCGUAAACUCUCAUCCUUAGAGUUUUGUGAAGUUUAAAGCCCCUAAUACCUUGCUAGUAAUUUAUAAUGAAGUGUUAUGCCAAUUUGGGGGAUUAAAACUAUCAUUUUGGCACAUUUAGGGGUGUUUACGGCCUUGGUACAUACCUGGGCCGUAAACUCCUUUUUCCCCUUCAUUUUGAUGUGUUUAAUUGAUCCAAACCCAAAGGACAAGCCCCUAAUUUAUGUCUUAAGCCUUGGUAUGAAUUUAGGGCACCCUUUAACAUGUUUUUAUGAGUUUACGGCCCUGGAACUAUUUCUUGGGAAGCUUUGGCCGUAAACUCCUAAAUGGAGGGUGUUUGACAUGUUUAAGGUCCCCAAACUAUUUUUAGAUGAUUCUAGGAUUUAUUCCAAGGCUAUUGGUGGAGUUCUAUGGCUUUUAAGCAUGUAAAAAUGAGUUUACACCCCAUGUUUGAGGGGUUUACGGCCCAAGCACAUUCCUUGGCCGUAAACUCCUAUUUGCUCCUCAAAAUUCAUGACUAGGGUGUUCUAAGUCCGGAUUUGCAAGCCAUAAGGUCGUAUCUUAGUCCCAAUGUUGGUUUGGAGGGGUUAAAUUGAUUAAAAACCCACUUAUUAAGUGUUUACGGCCCAAGCAUGCUCCUUGGCCGUAAACACAUGUUCCAAGUCCAAUUCUAUGCUAUAAACACGAAUCAUAAUGUUUAGAGUAAGCUAGGGUAAGCGGACUUACAAUUUGGAAGCGUUUGGUUGCGGAUUUGGGGCGAAAACGGGUCUAGAGAGAGAGUAUAGAGAGAGAGGGUGGAAAAGCUCCAAAUGGAGUUUACUCCCCUUUAUAUAUGGGUGGGAGUUGGAGCUCAGUGGAAUUCUACUCAAUACUGCUGUUAAACGGGGCUUUUGGUCGCACCCGAUUUAGUGGUCGUAACAAUAAAACUUAACAUUUUCCAAAUAAAUGGAAAUGGGUGUUAUGUGUUUUUAUUUCUUUUUUAUCACGACUUAACGGCAUAUUAAAUGUAAACAAAUGGAAUGUUUAUUAAAUUUGACGACCUCUAAUUAACGGAAUUUUAUAAACUGCAAUAUUCCGUUAACGGUAACGGGGUAAUGUAACGGAACAACUUGGGUUGUCACACAUUAAAAGGCUAUGUGUGAUAUUGACCCAAAUACUUACACGAACCAAUCAACCAAAUAUCAUGUGACAGAUUCUUAGAAUUUUAUACUUUGCUUUACAAUAAUCCUUUUAUGUAGGAUACAAGCAUACGGUGAUCAAGAUAUAUCAUUGUUAUUGGUAUCCACACAGGUUGAUAUGAAUUGUUGCUAGACAGCAACAACCAAAGCAAGCUUCUUAUGUGCCUCCUUGUCUUUUAUUGUCAACAAAAAAGUGAAAAUGGAAAUAAUGAUGUCACCAAAAGGGAGGGAUCAUCUAGUGUUUUAUGUUUAUUAUUCCCGUAAUACAUGUCUUUAUUUUGUAUCUACAUUAUUUUGUGACUUUUUAGGUAACUCUUUCGAGUCAAUCCACUCAAGUAAUUGAUGUGCGUAAAAUAGUCUAUAAAAUAAACUUGAAAUACAAAUCCAAUUUUAAAUUUAUAAAAUCGAACAAACCAAACUAAAACUAUCAACACCAGGCAGUGGACUUCAUCAUUAAUAUCAUAGCUUAGGUAAAUACGAGUGUCGAACACAUGGGGAACUGAAAUGUAUUUCGAUUAUUAAAUCUAAAUAUUAAUCAACCUCAAAAGAAAGCAUAUAAAAGGGAUUUUACGAUAAGUACUCAAAUAAAUACACAAAUAAACAAGCAUGACUGACUUUAUGGAAAACAUAUAUAAAGGUAAUCAUAUAUGGGCUUAAUUAUUCCAUAUUCUAUGGUUGAUUUAUAUUAUGUGUAAUCGAUACUGGUAUGUUGUUUAUCAAUUCCUAACUUGAUUAAAUCAAUUACCAAUAUCUUUAAUCAUAUGUUUCUAAGUUAUCUACCACCAACGAUAGCUUUCCUAUAUCCAGGUACGAAUCAAGUUUUGUAUUAAUUUUUAUUUUUCGAUGGCCACGACGUGGUGGAGCAUUACCACGACGUGGAGGGAAGUUUUAGACCGUUGGAUUUAAAUGCCCACCAUGGUAUGGCAGGUGUUUUAAUGCAAAACCAUAAUUCCGGGCUUUAGGUCCUAUAUAAAGAACAUUAAGGCUAGGGUUUUGUGAUCAUUCAGCCCCCAUCACCAUCUCAAACUCAGAAAACCUAACCCUAGCCUCCAUUAAAGUUGUGAGCUCAUUCUUAGUGCUUUUUGGUGGUUUUUUAAAGGAGAAGGACACCCUUGGUGUGGUAGUUACUUGGCAAGCAUCAUUUUCUUCAACUAGCACAUCUCCUGGACCUUGGUGGGGGAUGGUGCUUCUAAGAGGAACAAAGACUUGCAUAGUGCUGCCACGGGACAUUCGUCGGGGUGCUGGUGGCCUUCCCCGAGACUGUUCAGGAACAUCUUGAUGUGGGUAUACCUGAAAAAUUCCUUAACCUUCGCCCAGAAAUGAAAGGAGUGUCCAAGAUUUAACAUUUUCCUUGCUAUGUUACUAGAUCUCUUGAUUUUGUCCAAUUCCUUCAUGUCUUGAUGGACUUGGGUGGUAGGAUCUCAUAAAGUUUGCAACUUUAUGAAUCUCCAGACCAUUUAGGGUAUUUGGUGUAUUGGAUCUGAAUUAUAAAUGAACUUUGGUAUCAUGCAUGGAAUUUUGAUCAUUAAACCCUAAUUUUGACCCAUUAGGAGUUCAAGACAUGCAUGCCUAGAAAGCAUGGGUUUUUAUGUUAUUUUUGGAACUAGUAACCCUUCUGGAAUCGUUGGUCAUGGGAUCUUCAAGACUAAGUGCUUAAUGAUUAAGCCAUGAUGUGUUUUCACCCCUUUUUGGGCCUAAGGGUGAGAUCUUUGCCUCUUGGAAGGUCUUAAGGGAUAAAGUUGGAAACUUUAUCCAUUAAGACCAUGGAAUGGACCAUAUAUGAGCUUUGAAGCUCUCAUAAUCAAAGAAAGUGUCUUAAUAUAUUAAGUUGUUGGGAGCCUAGUGCCCACAGCGUGGCCUAGGAUGCCACUGUGUGGCAGCCGGGCUAAGACUUGUCUACCUUGUCAUUUAGUGGCCACGAUGUGGCCAAGGACGGCCAUGGCUUGGCGACCAGCUAGAGUUGACUUUGCCGUUGACCAUUGACUUUGACCAAGUUUGACUUUAGGUUAUUUUGGGUAUUUUGAGUAGUAUGUUGAAGUUUAAAUCCAUGUUAUUAUAUAUGUGAUCAAUAGAGGCAGUAUUCAGAGCAGUAUUUUGUUUACCUAUCAUUUCAGGCUUUGAGGUGAGUUUCCUCACUGUACUUGUGGGUCGAAGGUACUACUAUCGGCCCAGUAGGUUGUAUAUCCUGGUUUGGAUGUUGUUAUGUUCUAGUGAUUUGUUAAGAUCUGCAUAAUUAUCUAUUUCCUGUUAUAUGUUUUAUUUGUUGCAUAUGUCGACAUAGUGCGGUCAGGUUAAGGCAAUAUUGUUGUGGUUUAAGAGAAUUGGAUGAGCAUUUGUGUAAAUCCAGACUCAAACUAUGGAUUUGUAAAAGUUUUCAAAUUGUUUUCAAAAUUGUUUCAAGGAUGACCAAGAAGGAUGGGAUGUGUAUGAUCAGUCGGAGCAAGAAAGUAUACCCCAAGAUACCCCCACUGUUAUUUGUUAUGAUGUUUAUGAUAGAACUGCAUGUCAAUGUUAGGCUAGGGAUCCUCAGAAACUGCAUGCUAGAAUUACCUGAUGAAUGAUGCAUGAUAGCCUAGGAAAAAUUCUUGUAUGUUAGAUGAAUUUGACAUCAUUACUUCGGUUGCAUAGUAUGUGCAUCAUAGUUGUACAUAAUUAAGAUUUUAUAACCUAAGAAUGUUUAGUUUAGCCUUUUUUCAUGUUCCUUGUUUGGUUGUGGGCUUAGGGUAGAAUCAAGUAUUCGACUGUCUAUGGGAUCCAACGUUAUGUAUGAUUAGUAUGCACGAGCAGAUGCAGUGUUGGUGGAAGUUUCAUGAGUGAGUAUGUGAACAGUCGGCCAAAUGAGGAAUGAUUAGCCACUCUUGAGAGAGAGUGAAUAUAGGAUGUACAUGUAUCCUAGUUGUGGGUCCGUUUUGGGUGGUUUGUGAUGAUCCAUUAAGACAAAUAUGGGUAGGUGUGGAAGUUAGUAUGUGUACAUACUACUGAAAGCACAUGACCCGUACGCGUAGCCACUCUCGUGAGAGUGGUUAUAGGAUGUAUGUGUAUCCUAGUUGUGGGUCUGUUUCGGGUAGUUUGUGAUGAUCCAUUGAUAAAAAUAUGGGUAGGUGUGGAAGGUGGUAUGGGCACAUAUGAAUGAAAGCACAAUACCCAUACAUGUAGCAAGGAAGUCAUAAACCCCGAGGGUUUAGUCUCUCUAUGAUAAUUGUGAUAAUAUGAAUUGUGGCAUUUCUGAUAUAUUUUGGUUCAUUUUUAGUAUGCUGUUCACGAUAGGAUCUAGUUCUGGAGCUGGUGGCCAAGAUAGGGUGGAGUUGACUGAUGAUCAGAUACGAGAGAUGAUUGUCGCUGAGGUGGCUACUGAUGUCCAGAGUGUGAUACCAGUGAUGUUUGGGUCUAUCAAGACCAUGGCGAUUAAGCUAUUUGAUGAUCAUUAUGUGGACCUCACUAAGACUGCUAUUGUUGUAGCCACCGCAACCAUCGUUGUUGCGGGAGGCCGAGGAGGAGGUUUAUUCCAGUAUCGGGACUUCAAUAACACGAAGCCCCCAGAGUUCGAUGGGUCAAGGACCCGAUUGUGGCUGUGAGAUAAUUUUCAUAUGUAGAGGGUUGUUUCUUCACCUGCUCCUGUCCGGAGGACUAUAAGGUCAGAUACACCCUGAAUCUCCUUCGACCAGGUGCGAAGGAUUGGUGGAACCUGGUGACCGGUUCCUAUACUCCAGAGUAGAGGACUCUCGUUACUUAGGAGAAACUCUCAGAGAUAUUUUGCACGAGGUAUGUUCCCCUGGUGGAGAAGGAGAGAUUGGAUCAGGAAUACCUAGAUUUGAGACAGACAACGGAGAUGGUAGCGGAGAUCACCAAGAUGUUCAUGGAGAGAGCUCUAUUCUGUCCCAAGUUUGCUGCUUUGGAGCAAGCCCAGAUGAUGCAAUACUUGAGCAUGCUCAAGACUGAUAUUCGGCAGUUUGUGUAUAAUCAGUGUUAUAGUACCCUAUCCGAGCUUCAGGAUGUUGCGUGGAGACGGGAUAUUGAGACUCGGACGAUGGAGUAGAGACAGACUCCCAUUUAGUCUCAAUUUGUAAUGAAGUGGUUCAAGCUUGUUGAGUCAUGAUCUAAGGGACAGGGAGGCCGUACUUGUGUCAAGUGUGGCAAGGUUCAUGAGGGUGUCUAUCGGUUUUCUUCGGGGUGCCACAAAUGCGGCAGCGGGCCAUAUUGCUAGGGAUUGUUGUCAGCAGGCCCCAAUUUUGAGCAUCGGGAUUUCCUAUCAGUGUGACCAGGUUGGCCAUGUGAAGACCAACUAUCCAUUUCUUGUUGCGAGACUGGUGUAGGCUACAACACUGGCUACUUUGAGGACCACAGAUGGACGUCAGGGCAGGGCGGAGCCCCCGAUGGCUCUAGGUUAUGCAUUCCAGCUCAUAGCAAGAGACCAGGGCGGCGUUACUCGUACCUUUUUAGUGAACUUCUUGCCUAUCUUGUGCUUUUUGACUCGGGUGCGAUUCGUUCCUUUGUGUCUCAGUCCUUCAGUAGUAGUUUUGAUAUGUCUCUUGUAGAUUUCGAGUGCCCGUUGCGAGUUUCCAUCGCCAAUGAGCACGGGGUUUCUACAUCAAGCAUUUUUUGGGGUUGUGUUUUGGAGAUUUGUAACGACCCAAAAUUUCAUGUCCAAAAAUUUCGUUUAUAAAACAUUACAUAGAAAACGUUAACAAUUAAAACAUUGUUUAGUUGAACCACUUCUCAUCGAAAACCAAAUUAAAACCACAACAUUCGAUCAAUCAAAAUAUCAGAGUAUCAAUCCCAGAAUAAACUCGUAACUGCGGAAACAAGAGAGUGUGUGUGUGACAUGCUGCUACCGCGCCGGCUCCUUUCCCCUAGCUGAGGAGGUACCUGAAACCAAAAUUGAAAACCGCAAGCACGAAGCUUAGUAAGUUCCACCAUAAUACCUCAUACCAUGCAAGCAUAUAACAAACAACGUUCAGCUAGGAGUUAUGGGCCUCGCCCACACUCGUGAAGAUACGGGCCCUGCCCACACUUCGCUAGCCGGGAGAUACGGGCCUCGCCCACACUUGUGAAGAUACGGGCCCUGCCCACACUUCGCUAGCCGGGAGAUACGGGCCUCGCCCACACUCUACUAUCUGGGAGAUACGGGCCUAGCCCACACUCCAACCUCGGAGAGAUACGGGCCCUGCCCACACUCAACCGCUAACCCAUAAUAUACAAGUAUCACACAGACAACAAGUAUAAGCAACUCUAUCAUAUUGACACAUAUAUCAUACUCGACUAAACCCAGAGAUACGGGCUCGGCCCACACUCUCAUACUAACAUCUCGUCUACACGGGUCAGCUUUGGUGCCUUAGACCCGUUUCUACUGAAAAGGAAACUCACCUCGAAAUAGAUGCUAAUCUGGUAGAGAACUGACUGCCUACUGCUGCUCCGGAAAUCCUUCGGCUACAAAUCCCACAACAUACUCAGUCAAUCACUGCUAACUGUCCAUCAGGUAAAAUGACCAUUUUACCCCUGAUCAUGUCAUAAGUCAAAGUCAGAGUCAACUUUCAGUUGACCCGACUCGUCGAGUUGGCUCUCCAACUCGCCGAGUCCCUAACCAAACGACUGUCCUGGAUCCCGACCCUACUCGUCGAGUUAGGCGUUGCCUCGACGAGUUCUUCUUCUUAACUGAGGUUCAAGUCCUUCAUCCUACUCGCCGAGUUGUAUGAACAACUCGCCGAGUUCAUCUUCAUCCGAAGAACACUUUAUGCUGUGACUCGCCGAGUUGUAUGAACAACUCGCCGAGUCUGUUCUUGAUCUAAGGAGAUUGCCUUGAACUCGCCGAGUCAGGGCAUGGACUCGCCGAGUUCCUCCAUGGAUGAGUUUGGCUUCCAACUCACUGAGUCACACCCCGUGACUCACUACACCCACUCGACACAACGAAAAGGGGACAACUCGGAGACUCGCGAGCAGACUCGCCGAGUCGUCGCCAUGCAUUCACUAUAUAUGCGAUUUUGCUCGAUUCCAGUCCAUGCCAUUUACAGAUCUGGGUUCCUAGAGCAUGAAUGACACGUAAAGUUUCCAACUUUACGUGUAGAUACUCACCAAUGAGGGAUUUAGGGCUCAAAAUGCCUCAAAAGGGUAGAUCUAGGGUGAACAAGCAACAUGGGUCCAUAAAGGUAACAGAUCUGAGCUCCUGGAGCUCAAUCUUGCCUAGAUCUAAAGGCCAAUCAACUUAUUACGACUUAUAUUGCACAUACAAGCUUGGGGAUUGGCUCAAGAAUGACUUAAAUGAAGUAAUAAGCAUAGAAACAGGGGGAAAACGGGUUAUACCUCAAAGGAACUGCUGAGAGAGCACAAAGAUGCUUGGAUUCCUUCCCUUCCUCUUGAUCUACUCCCCUUUUGCUUCAAAACCUUCAAGAACACACAAAAAUUUCUUCAAACUCUCAAUGAUCAAGCUUAGAACGAGGGUUGGGAGCUCUAAGGGUGAAUGGGGGCUGGCCUGGGGCGGAUAUGACAUUUAAAUAGGGUGCAAACCCCUGAAACUUAGGGUUUCAUCCAACAGCGGUGACUCGCCGAGUCGCCAACUUAAACGUAUCCCGGGUCCUGUAUCUACUCGGCGAGUCGGACCUAUGACUCGCCGAGUCCAAGGCUACAAAAAAAAAGAGAAUACUCAAAUAAGAUUUAUGUACCAGGAACCAGGUGCUACAAAUCCCCCCCACUUAUUUUAGACUUCGUCCUCUAAGUCUGCUGCUCGAUCCUGAAACAGCUCGAGGUAAUGCUCCAUCAUCUCAUCCACCGGAUCCCAAGUCCAUUCCGAACCCUUGCGGUGCUGCCAUUACACCUUCACUAGCUCCACCUUCUUGUUCCUCAAAUCCUUCGACUUCCUGUCGAGGAUUGCGACUGGGCGCUCAAUGUAAUUCAGGCUGUCAUCUUCCUGUAUAUCCUCUAGUGGCACCACCGCUGAAUUGUCCACUAGGCACUUCCGCAGCUGAGAAACAUGGAAAGUGCUGUGGAUCUGGCUGAGCUCGGCUGGCAGAUCCAACCUAUACGCCACCUUGCCUACCCGGGCUACAACCCUGAACGGUCCGACGAAUCUCGGGCCCAACUUGCCCCGCUUCCUGAAUCGAAUAACGCCUUUCCAAGGCGACACCUUCAGGAGAACCAUAUCCCCGACUUGGAACUCCAAGUCGGAUCGACGCUUGUCGGCGUAACUCUUUUGUCGACUCUGAGCAGUCUGAAGCCUGCUCCUAACCUGCUGGAUCCUCUCGGUCGUCUUGAGCACCCCUUCGGUGCUCCCCAUGACUCUCUGGCCAACUUCACCCCAGCAUAUCAGGGUCCUGCAUCUCCGUCCAUACAACAUCUCGAAUGGAGGGCGGUCGAUACUCGCAUGGUAGCUGUUGUUGUAGGAGAACUCGGCCAAGGGAAGAUAGGUAUCCCAGCUACCACCGAAGUCCAACACGCACGCCUGCAACAUAUCCUCCAAGGUCUGGAUGGUCCGCUCGCUCUGACCAUCCGUCUGCGGGUGAAAGGCGGUGCUAAAAUGCAAACGAGUGCCCAACUCGUCAUGAAAUCUCUUCCAAAAUCUGGAAGUAAAACGCACAUCCCUGUCCGAGAUAACCGAUACUGGCACCCCGUGCCGCGCCACGAUCUCCCUGAUAUAGAUGUCGGCCAAUUUCUCGGCCGAUAUGCUCUCCUGAAUCGGGAUAAAGUGAGCACUCUUGGUCAAUCGAUCCACGAUGACCCAAAUCGAAUCCACUCCACGCGUGGUCCUGGGAAGUUUCGUGAUAAAAUCCAUCGUGAUAUCUUCCCAUUUCCACAGUGGAAUAUCCAACGGCUGCAUCUUGCCAUGCGGUCUCUGAUGUUCGGCCUUGACCUUCCUGCAGGUCAAGCACCGCUCAACGUACCAUGCCACAUCCCGCUUCAUGCAGGGCCACCAAUAAUCUAGACGAAGAUCCCUAUACAUCUUCGUCGCCCCGGGAUGAAUAGAGAAUCGGGACUUGUGCGCCUCCUCCAUCAAAAUCUGGCGCACGCCUCCGUGAUACGGCACCCACACCCUACGGUGUAGUGUCAAUAACCCUCGGCUAUCAUAAUCGAAGGAGGAAACCUGACCUACUACGCGCUCGUUCUUCCGAUGCUCCUCCUUGAUAGCCUCCUGUUGAGCUUCCCGAAUCUGCUCCAACAGGGGAGUCACCACAGUCAUCCUCAAACAGGCGUCCCUGAUCGGCGCCGUCUUGCGGCUAAGCGCAUCGGCCACCACAUUGGCCUUUCCCGGGUGGUAAAGGAUCUCGCAAUCAUAAUCCUUCACCACAUCCAACCACCGACGCUGCCUCAUGUUCAGAUUCGGCUGAUCCAUGAGGUACCUCAAACUCUUGUGGUCCGUGUAGAUGGUACACCGAACCCCAUAGAGGUAAUGUCGCCAAAUCUUGAGGGCAAAUACCACCGCCCCCAACUCCAAAUCGUGCGUCGGGUAGUUCGCCUCGUGAGGCUUGAGCUGCCUCGAAGCGUAAGCAAUGACAUGCCCCCUUUGCAUCAGCACCGCGCCCAACCCAGAAAUGGACGCAUCGCAAUAAACCACGAAAUCCUCUACGCCCUCUGGCAGGGCUAAGAUCGGCGCCUCACACAAUCUCUGUCUCAGCGUCUCAAAUGCAGCCUGCUGCUCGGGUCCCCACCGAAAGACCACGGCUUUCUUCGUCAGCCGCGUCAGGGGCACGGCUAUCUUGGAGAAAUCCUGGAUAAAUCUCCGAUAGUAGCCUGCCAAUCCCAGGAAACUCCGAAUCUCAGAUGGAGACUUCGGAACCUCCCAUCUCAUCACGGCCUCGACCUUGGCCGGAUCGACCAGAAUCCCGUUCUGGUUGACGAGGUGUCCAAGAAAUUGCACCUCGCGCAACCAAAACUCACACUUGGAGAACUUGGCAUACAAGCUCUCCCUCCUCAGGGUCUCUAACACCUCUCUCAGAUGCUCCUCAUGUUCCUCCCGGGUCUUGGAAUAAACCAAGAUAUCAUCGAUAAAGACUAUCACAGACCGGUCCAGCAUCGGUCUGCAUACACGGUUCAUGAGGUCCAUGAACGCGGCAGGAGCAUUGGUGAGCCCAAACGGCAUCACCACGAACUCAUAAUGGCCAUAGCGCGUCCGAAACGCGGUCUUCUGCAUAUCCUCCUCCCUGACCCUCAUCUGAUGAUAACCCGAACGCAAAUCAAUCUUGGAGAACCAAGAUGCUCCCUGAAGCUGGUCAAAGAGGUCAUCAAUCCUCGGAAGCGGGUAACGGUUCUUCACUGUUACCUUGUUCAGCUCCCGAUAAUCUAUACACAUCCGAUGCGACCCGUCCUUCUUCUUCACAAACAGAAUCGGGGCUCCCCAGGGCGAACUGCUCGGACGAAUAAAUCCCUUGUCUAGCAGCUCCUGCAGCUGCGUAGACAACUCCUGCAUCUCGGGAGGAGCCAACCGAUACGGUGCCUUGGCUAUCGGAGCCGCACCAGGAACAAGGUCAAUCCUGAACUCCACCUGUCGCUCCGGAGGUAUCCCAGGAAGCUCCUCUGGGAAAACAUCUGCAAAGUCUCGGACCACCGGAACCUCGCUCACUGUCGCCUUACCCGCCUCCCGGGUAUCCAUCACAUACGCGACAUAUCCUGCGCAUCCCUGCUGAAGGUAGCGCCUAGCCCUCGCUGCUGAACAUACAGCGGGUCCAUACUGGGGCCUCUCACCAUGAAUCACUAACUCUCCCCCGCUUGGGGUCCUGACCCGCACUAGCUGCUGCGCGCAAUCUAUCACAGCCCCAUUAGGGCUCAGCCAAUCCAUGCCUAUAAUCACCUUGUUCCCACGCAACGGUAUGGGAACCAAAUCUACCAAAUAGCGCUCCUCGAACAAACGCAGCACGCAAUCUCGAAAUACCAUCGAUGCUCGCACCGAUCGAUCAUCAGCAAUCUCCACCUCCAAAGGGCAAUCUAACUCGCCUGAUGGCUCAUGAAACUUCUUGCUAAGCGCAAGGGAAACGAAUGAUCGGGAUGCACCCGAAUCAAAUAACACCUGAACUGGGAGGCCGUUCACAUGGAACGAUCCUAAUGCAUACAUAUACAUACAGAGCACAUAUCAAUAACAUAACAUCAUAAAAAUAAGAUAGAGGGAAAGAAUCAUACCCGUCACCACAUCGGGUGCGGCGCGUGCCUCCUCGGUAGUCAACUGGAAUGCUCGGCUCCUCACCACCGGAGCCUCUGCCUUGCCCUGCCGGCCAUCCGUGAUCCGCAGGGUCGCUGGAGCUGGCGCCUUCACCGGCGCUGAAACUGUCAACUGGGGGCAAUUGGCCUUCUUGUGGCCCCUCUGGUUGCAGUGGAAACACAGCAACUCUGAUGUCUGAAUAACUGCUGCCGGAGCAGUGCAAUCCCUGCUGAUGUGCCCAGACUUGCCGCACUUGUAGCAGCCUGAUGAUCCCAUCCUGCACGCCCCCUCGUGCGGCCUGCCGCAUUUCCUGCAGCGGCUCGGUCCUGACUGGCCUUUCGGCCUACCAUCUGAUCCCUUGGGCUUCUUCCCCGAAGCCCCUCCUGCCUGUCCCUCCUCUGAUUUCCGUUUCCGGAUGUGCUCCAAAUCUAUCUCCCUCUCCCUCGCCCUGGCAAUCAUAGAGUCCAAGGUAGGGCAAGCCGAAAAGCUAACAUGCUCCCGGAUGUCAGCUCGUAGCAUAUCAUGAUAACGAGUCCUCCUCAUAUCCUCGUCACCAGCAUACUGGGGCACCAACAAAGCCCUCUCCCGGAACUUGGCGGUGAUCUCCGCCACAGUCUCCGUCGUCUGUCUCAUGUCCAGAAACUCCCUGGCCAGCUGCUGAAGCUCGACAGCCGGCGCAAACUCUGCCCUGAACCUGGUCACAAAGUCCGACCAGGUCAUAGCCUCGAUAGCUGAGGCUCCCAACGAGUCACCCACUGACUCCCACCAAUCCCGGGCUCGGUCUCGUAAGCACCCUGCUGCAUACCUCACCUUCGACCCCUCGGGGCAGAAGCUAGUCAACUGUGCAGACUCGAUGUCUGCAAUCCAUCGCCUGGCAGCAAUGGGGUCUUUCACCCCGUGGAAAUCCGGCGCACCACUGCCCCUGAAGUCCUUAAAGGACAGCGUGCGAGAUCCCGACUGGCCAGAUGCCAUGUCGCUCCUGAACGCCCUGAGGCGAUCCUCCAUCAACUCGAUGAUCCCUUCCUUGAUCGACCCGAAGAUAAUGGGGGUCGACUCAAGGAUACCCCUGGUGAUCUCUGACGCGAUGAACUCGCGUAGUCCCUCAUCUACCUGCUCAGAACCUGAUCCCGAACCUGACCCCUCUCCUGAACCGCCAUCUAUCGGCCUCGAUCGAAGUACCACCAUUCUGCAAUACAUAAUAACAAUCAUUAGUGAUACUGAUACUUCCUGAGGGAUCACAACUACUUACAAGUUCCCUGGUCUUAUCUUGGCCUUCCUUGGUUCGGGUACGGAUCCUCUGCUUUCAGUAGUACGGGCCCAUACUACCUUCCACAUCUAUCCGUACCUUCUUCAAGGACUGCCUCGACUCCACCAGGUCCCUUCCACUACGGCUGAUCACUACUAUACUCAUCCUAGGCUUGCCCUAGGGAAAUCUCAGACUCCACCCUACCAGGUCCUCAGCUGCUGAAGGCCUCUUAGUAGUGCCAAUUAACCAUUACCUGAACACCAUCACAUGUGGUGAGGCUCGGAUAAUCCUUCGAGUAACAGGCUCACCCCUACAACGGUUAGACUCAAACGAGAGCUGCGCAAUAGGGCCAAAUCCAGCACUCUAAGAUUAUUCAACCCUGAUCACAUGUGACGUGACGUAUUCGCCUAGUGGCUAAUUCCCAUUAUUCAGAGUCCCACAUAGCACGAAGCAAGCAGCAUUCAGACAAGGGAAACAACCUCAAGCAACUCCGCUCUCAUAGAGAGAAACUGAACUAGCACACAGCGCUAAACUCGCACUAUCAGGCAUAACCUAAACAGGCUACCCUACUGUUGUCUACUCGAUACUAGCAUGCAAUUCUCAUACAACUGAAACACAUAAAGCAGGCACAUAAGGCAUCACUCCUAGAUCCUUAGUCCUAUUCUAGCAUGCUGUUCUACAAAAGCUGAUAAACAUAACAUAAACUUGUAUGGGUACUUUGGGGAAUACUUACUUGAGCUCGGCCGGUCGCGCACAUCACACACUUCGUUCUUUCUCAAAACUCUUUUCUCAAUUUUUGAAAACAUUUUCUUUUAGAAAAUCUUUUAAUCCCUCGAUUUGAGUUCAGACACCCCCGAAGGUGUGUCCGAAUCCCUCAAACCAGGGCUCUGAUACCAACUUGUAACGACCCAAAAUUUCACGUCCAAAAAUUUCGUUUAUAAAACAUUACAUAGAAAACGUUAACAAUUAAAACAUUGUUUAGUUGAACCACUUCACAUCGAAAACCAAAUUAAAAACCACAACAUUCGAUCAAUCAAAAUAUCAGAGUAUCAAUCCCAGAAUAAACUCGUAACUGCGGAACCAAGAGAGUGUGUGUGACAUGCUGCUACCGCGCCGGCUCCUUUCCCCUAGCUGAGGAGGUACCUGAAACCAAAACUGAAAACCGUAAGCACGAAGCUUAGUGAGUUCCCCCAUAAUACCUCAUACCAUGCAAGCAUAUAACAAACAACGUUCAGCUAGGAGUUACGGGCCUCGCCCACACUCGGGAAGAUACGGGCCCUGCCCACACUUCGCUAGCCGGGAGAUACGGGCCUCGCCCACACUUGUGAAGAUACGGGCCCUGCCCACACUUCGCUAGCCGGGAGAUACGGGCCUCGCCCACACUCUACUAUCUGGGAGAUACGGGCCUAGCCCACACUCCAACCUCGGAGAGAUACGGGCCCUGCCCACACUCAACCGCUAACCCAUAAUAUACAAGUAUCACACAGACAACAAGUAUAAGCAACUCUAUCAUAUUGACACAUAUAUCAUACUCGACUAAACCCAGAGAUACGGGCUCGGCCCACACUCUCGUACUAACAUCUCGUCUACACGGGUCGGCCUUGGUGCCUUAGACCCGUUUCUACUGAAAAGGAAACUCACCUCGAAAUAGCUGCUAAUCUGGUCGAGAACUGACUGCCUACUGCUGCUCCGGAAAUCCUCCGGCUGCAAAUCCCACAACAUACUCAGUCAAUCACUGCUAACUGUCCAUCGGGUAAAAUGACCAUUUUACCCCUGAUCAUGUCAUAAGUCAAAGUCAGAGUCAACUUUCAGAUGACCCGACUCGCCGAGUUGGCUCUCCAACUCGCCGAGUCCCUAACCAAACGACUGUCCUGGAUCCCGACCCUACUCGUCGAGUUAGGCGUUGCCUCGACGAGUUCUUCUUCUUAACUGAGGUUCAAGUCCUUCAUCCUACUCGCCGAGUUGUAUGAACAACUCGCCGAGUUCAUCUUCAUCCGAAGAACACUUUAUGCUGUGACUCGCCGAGUUGUAUGAACAACUCGCCGAGUCUGUUCUUGAUCUAAGGAGAUUGCCUUGAACUCGCCGAGUCAGGGCAUGGACUCGCCGAGUUCCUCCAUGGAUGAGUUUGGCUUCCAACUCACUGAGUCACACCCCGUGACUCACUACACCCACUCGACACAACGAAAAGGGGACAACUCGGAGACUCGCGAGCAGACUCGCCGAGUCUGAUGAACGACUCGCCGAGUCGUCGCCAUGCAUUCACUAUAUAUGCGAUUUUGCUCGAUUCCAGUCCAUGCCAUUUACAGAUCUGGGUUCCUAGAGCAUGAAUGACACAUAAAGUUUCCAACUUUACGUGUAGAUACUCACCAAUGAGGGAUUUAGGGCUCAAAAUGCCUCAAAAGGGUAGAUCUAGGGUGAACAAGCAACAUGGGUCCGUAAAGGUAACAGAUCUGAGCUCCUGGAGCUCAAUCUUGCCUAGAUCUAAAGGCCAAUCAACUUAUUACGACUUAUAUUGCACAUACAAGCUUGGGUAUUGGCUCAAGAAUGACUUAAAUGAAGUAAUAAGCAUAGAACAGGGGGGAAAACGGGUUAUACCUCAAAGGAACUGCUGAGAGAGCAAAAAGAUGCUUGGAUUCCUUCCCUUCCUCUUGAUCUACUCCCCUUUUGCUUCAAAACCUUCAAGAACACACAACAAUUUCUUCAAACUCUCAAUGAACAAGCUUAGAACGAGGGUUGGGAGCUCUGAGGGUGAAUGGGGGCUGGCCUGGGGCGGAUAUGACGUUUAAAUAGGGUGCAAACCCCUGAAACUUAGGGUUUCAUCCAACAGCGGUGACUCGCCGAGUCCAGGAUAUGGACUCGCCAAGUCGCCAACUUAAACAUGUCCCGGGUCCUGUAUCUACUCGGCGAGUCGGACCUAUGACUCGCCGAGUCCAGGGCUACAAAAAAAAGAGAAUACUCAAAUAAGAUUUACGUACCAGGAACCAGGUGCUACAAGAUUGUUGGGGUGUCCUAUCGGAUUGAUAUGAUCCCUAUCCCUAUGGAGGUGGUACUUAUGCAACAAUGGUGGGUUAUUGGAUAUGCUUCAAGGCAGCUAAGGUUGCAUGAGGUUCGGGAUCUGAUGCAUGAUUUGGAGAUGGGGGCGGUGGUGUUUGCCCUCAAGAUUUGGCGGCAUUAUCCUUAUGAGGUCCGGUGUACCACUUACACUGACCACAAGAGUUUGAGGUACCUCAUCGAUCAACCUUAUUUAAAUAUGAGACAAUGUAGAUGGAUUGACGUGGUCAAUGAUUAUGAUUGUGAUAUACUUUAUCACCCGGGGAAAUCAAAUGUGGUCGUUGAUGCUUUGAGCCACAAGUCAGCUAGUUCUUCUGUUGGGAGCUUAUGUAUAAGGAUAUCUAAAGAUUCGCCGCCUUUGGAUCAAAUCAGAGAGGCCCAGGCCGGUGGAGUCAAGAAGGAAAAUUGGAAGUAGGAGAGAAUUAGGGGCGAGACUGAUAGGUUUUCUACCGAUAGUCGUGGAUUGCUGACCCGGUGCAGUCGAGUCUGGGUGCCAGAUUUUGGCAGGAUCACACAGACUAUACCGGAGGAGGCACUUAAGUUUAGAUUUUUGACACAACCUGGAGCCACCAAUAUGUAUCGUGAUUUGAGAUUUAGUUACUGGUAAUUCUGCAUGAAAAGGGAGAUAGCCUAGUAUCUUGAGAGGUGCUUGACAUGUUGGAUGGUCAAGGUCGUGCACUAGAGGUCGCAUGACAAUUUGCAUCCUUUGUAGGUUCCCAUAUGGAAAUGGGAACAAAUCACCAUGGAUUUCAUCACCAAGUUACCUCAGCAGGCUAAGGGAUUUAAUGUGAUAUGGGUUAUAGUGGACCGUCUGACCAAGAAUGCCCACUUUCUAGCUAUUUGGGAGAGCUCCUCGGCCAAGAAAUUAGGUGAUGUCUAUGUGCACGAUAUCUUCGCUCGACAUGGGGUUCCAAUUUCUAUUAUAUCUUAUCAAGAUGUUCGGUUCACUUCUCAACUUUGGCAGAGGUUCCAUGAGGAACUGUGUACGAGGUUGCAUUUUAGCACUGCUUAUCAUCCGCACACUGACGGCCAGAGUGAGAGGACCAUCCAGAUGCUCGAGGAUAUGUUGAGAGCCUAUGUUAUAGAUUUUGGUGGUAGUUGGAAUUCCUACCUUCCCUGGUUUAGUUUCCUUACAACAAUGUCUAUCACUCCAGUAUCGGUGUGUCGUCGUUUGAGCUUCUUUAUGGGAGGAAGUGUCGUACCCCAGUAUGUUGGGGUGACGUUGUUCACAAGGUUAUAGGAAAGACCAAGGUAGCUCUCCAGACGUCCGAGAUUAUCCAGCAGAUCAGAUAGAGGUUGCAGACAAAUCAAAGUCGGCACCAGAGUUAUGCCGACAGACGUCGACUCGAGUUGGAGUUUUAGGUCGGCGACAUGGUUUUACUGAAUUUAUCACCCUGGAAAGGAGUAAUACACUUUAGGAAAAGGGGGAAGUUGGGGCCCCAAGAUAUUGAGCCCUUUUGAGUGUUAGCCAUGGUAGCCUAUCAGUUGAAUCUGCCAGAGGAGCUCAGACAGAUUAACAACACCUUUUAUGUUUCUUAGCUAC